GAAAAAUAAAAAAAAAAAUUAUUAUACAUAUACACCAUACUUUUGGCAUGAUAUGCCAUACCCCUGAGAUGGUUUAGAACAAGAAUAAAAUACAAUGUUUAUAUCUAAUGUUCUCUUGUCCAAAUUAAGGACAUUUGAUAAUUGCCCAUUAUUUUAGGGCCUCUUCAUAGAACCGGGUUCACAUUAUUCGGUCAACCCAUUUGUAUCUCUCAAUAAUUGAG
rnacentral:misc_RNA from 1 species